GGCCUAGUGGCGGACGGUUUCCGCACCUGCACUAAGUAAAAUGUUGGCUGAGUGCUCAUCAGCAGGAACCGCUCGUUCGAAUCGAGUCUGGGUCG